rnacentral:rRNA from 1 species
AUACGGAGGGUGCAAGCGUUAUCCGGAUUUAUUGGGUUUAAAGGCUGCGUAGGCGGUUUGAUAAGUCAGCGGUGAAAUAUUUCAGCUUAACUGGAAGGGUGCCGUUGAUACUGUCGAGCUUGAAUUUAGUUGCUGUGGGUGGAAUGUGUGGUGUAGCGGUGAAAUGCAUAGAUAUCACACAGAAUAUCGAUUGCGAAGGCAGCUCACAAAGCUAAUAUUGACGCUGAUGCACGAAAGUGUGGGGAUCAAACAGGAUUAGAUACCCUGGUAGUCCACGCUGUAAACGAUGAUAACUCGCUGUCGGCGAUACAUAGUCGGUGGCCAAGCGAAAGCGAUAAGUUAUCCACCUGGGGAGUACGACCGCAAGGUUGAAACUCAAAGGAAUUGACGGGG